rnacentral:tRNA from 1 species
GAAUUAUUUUAAUUUUUAAAAAAUUAUAAUAAUUAAUUUAUUCGCAGUAAUU